rnacentral:rRNA from 1 species
CUAGUUGGUAGGGUAAAGGCCUACCAAGGCAAUGAUCGGUAGCCGGCCUGAGAGGGCACACGGCCACACUGGCACUGAAACACGGGCCAGACUCCUACGGAAGGCAGCAUUGGGGAAUCUUGCACAAUGGAGGAAACUCUGAUGCAGCGACGCCGCGUGAGCGAUGAAGCCCUUCGGGGUGUAAAGCUCUUUCGGCAGGAACGAUAAUGACGGUACCUGCAGAAGAAGCUGCGGCUAACUACAUGCCACCAGCCGCGGUAAUACGUAGGCAUCAAGCGUUGUUCGGAAUUACUGGGCGUAAAGAGUGUGUAGGCGGUUCUCUAAGUUCCGUGUGAAAUCUCCCGGCUCAACUGGGAGGGUGCGCGGGAAACUGGAGGGCUCGAGUAUGGGAGAGGAAAGCGGAAUUCCUGGUGUAGCGGAGAAAUGCUUAUAUAUCGUCAAGAAC